rnacentral:rRNA from 1 species
CCUGCACAAUAGUGCGUGCAGGGCUCCGAGGGUUGGGGUUCUGCUCCCAACCGAGAAAACCUCGCCGUUUCUCCAACCACUUCUAAACCCCUGCUCUCGUAGCUAGGGUUUGAGUCUGCUGCUCGCGCAGCCACCCCAUGGCUACCACGCCGGUGCUCCACGACGCGCUGCUCGACUUUACUUCGCGGGAGAACUGGGACAAGUUCUUUGCCCUCCGCGGCGAUGGCGACAGCUUCGAGUGGUACGCGGAGUGGCCGCAAAUCAAGGCCCCGCUCCUGUCGCUCCUCCUUGGGGAAGAGGGGACUGAGAUCCUUGUCCCGGGGUGCGGGAGCUCGUCGCUCUCGGAGCAGCUGUACGACCUGGGGUUCCGCCGCAUCACCAACGUCGACUUCUCCCGUAUCAUCGUGGCCGACAUGCUCCGCCGGCACGCCCGUGUGCGCCCUCAGAUGCGUUGGCGCGUCAUGGACAUGACCAACAUGCAGUUUCCAGAUGGUUCGUUUGAUUUCAUACUUGAUAAGGGAGGAUUGGAUGCUCUUAUGGAGCCGGAGGUUGGCACAAAACUGGGGAUGAAAUAUCUAGACGAGGCCAAGAGGGUUUUGAAGUCAGGCGGGAAAUUUGCGUGCUUUACUCUAGCAGAAUCCCAUGUUUUAGACCUACUUUUGUCUGAGUUCAGGUUUGGAUGGGAUAUGACUAUUCAAGCUAUAGCUAGUGAACCCUCUAGCAAGUCUGCCUUCCAGACCUUCAUGUUGGUCAUGGUAAAAGGGAAGAUGGGUGUUGUACACACAAUAAAAUCACUAGUGGACCAGUCUGCUGAAUACUGUAACAUGCAACAGGCAAAUGCUGUAAUUCAUGCUCUGCAAAAUGAGAACAAAAUCCGGGAGUCACACAAUUCUGGUGUUGAUAUACUUUUCUCGUUGCGAGAUCUUCAGCUGGGUGCUAUUGGAGAUCUAAAGGUUAUUGUCCCAGGACGAAGGAGGCAGUUAAUUCUCGGUGAACAAGGAAGCUCAUUGUAUUGCUACAAAGCUGUUUUAAUGGAUGCCAAGAAUCAAAACGAGACAUUUGUAUACCACUGUGGAGUUUUUAUUGUGCCUAAGGCACGAGCUCAGGAAUGGUUAUUUGCUUCAGAGGAAGGGCAGUGGCUUGUUGUUGAAAGUGCAAAGGCUGCUCGUCUAAUCAUGGUAUUCCUCGAUAGCAGACAUGCAAGUGCUGACAUUGAUGUUGUUAAGAAGGAUUUAUCUCCUCUUGUUAUGGAUCUAGAACCUGAAUAUCCUGAAGAGACAGACCCUAUGCCAUUCAUGAUGGCUAGUGAUGGCGUGAAACAAAGAGAUAUUCUGCAGGAGGUAACAUCAGAAAUAACAGGUCCUAUGGUUGUGGAAGAUGUUCUUUAUGAAAAUGUUGAUGGAGAUCAAAGCUGCAUGUCUGAAAAAAUGUUCCGACGACUUAUUUUUAAAAGAAGUUCUGGCUUAGUGCAAUCUGAAGCAUUGUUAAUCAGAGAAUCACCAAGUGACGAGACGGACAGUAAGACCAAGAACUCAUCUGCAUCAUCAAAAAAGAAGAGCCAGAAAAAGGGACUCACUGGAUCCAAGGACAGUCUCAGGGUCGACCAUAGCUAUCUUGGUAGCUCUUAUCACAGUAGUAUCAUAUGUGGGCUUUCUUUAGUUGCAUCUGCUCUGAGUGCUGCGGCAUCAUCUGGAGAAAGGGUGAGUACCACUAUUGUAGGCCUUGGGGCCGGGAGUUUACCAAUGUUUCUUCAUGGAUGCCUCCCUCAUCUUAAUAUUGAGGUGGUUGAGUUGGACCCCAUGAUGGAGGAGGUAGCAACGAAAUAUUUUGGCUUUUCAAUGGAUGAGCAAUUGAAGGUGCAUUUGGGGGAUGGAAUCAAAUUCAUUGAAGAAAAUGCCCAUUCUGAACCAAAUGGCAAAGACAGUGACGCAGUUAGAAUUCUUAUUGUUGAUGUUGAUUCAUCUGAUCUAAGUUCUGGGUUGUCUUGCCCCCCAGCAAACUUUGUCGAAGAUGCUUUCCUUAUGUCAGCAAAAAAGUUCCUUUCAGCUGGGGGCCUCCUCAUCAUCAAUCUAGUCGCGCGAUCAUCUGCAGUCAGGGAAAUGGUCAUUUCACGAUUGAAAGCGGUCUUUGAAAACCUAUACUCACUGCAACUCGAAGAAGAUGUGAACGAAGUCCUGUUUGCAUCCCCAAGCAAAAGAUACCUGGAAAUCGAUCACCUUGAUGAGGCUGCAACUAAACUGAAGGCUAUGCUGAAAUUCCUGGUGGAUGUGGAAUCAGAUAUGAAGAAUUUGCAGAGGCUGCAGUAGUAUAGGCAUCUGUGCUUGUGAGGCACCAUCCAUUACUCCCGGCACUCAGAUAUGAAGAAUCUGCAGAGGAUGCAGUAGCAGGUAGGUGUAGGCUUCUGUAUUUUGCAGAGAAUGCAGUAUAUGUGGAAUCUAGCUUUUCCAAGCAUGAUGAAUUUAAUUUUGUUUUCUUUAUUAUAUACUCCAAAGGUGUCCUCCCUUAAUUUGGGAUGAAAGAAGUGCUUGGAUCUUCCGUGAUGUUUCAGCCAUAGUGACCAACUCUAGAAUCGAAUGUUCUGUAGAGGGUCAUGACUAGAAUGAAAAGAAUCGGGGGGAGGGAUCCCGUUGCCAGAACACUCCUCUGAACAAGAAAAGAGGGAUCUCCCAUUGGUUUAGGACUACUGAGACUGAGAAUGAUGACACCAAGCCGCUGCCAACUUGGAGAAGGUAGGCUAAGUUUAUAAAGUCGCGAGCCUUUUUUUA